rnacentral:rRNA from 1 species
UACGUAGGCAGCAAGCGUUGUUCGGAGUUACUGGGCGUAAAGGGUGCGUAGGCGGCUUUUAAGUUUGGUGUGAAAUCUCCCGGCUCAACCGGGAGGGUGCGCCGAAUACUGAGAGGCUAGAGUGUGGGAGAGGAAAGUGGAAUUCCUGGUGUAGCGGUGAAAUGCGUAGAUAUCAGGAGGAACACCGGUGGUGUAAACGGCUUUCUGGACCAUAACUGACGCUGAUGCACGAAAGCCAGGGGAGCAAACGGG